GAAGAAUCAGGAAAUUCUGUGGAUCCUCCACACACAUUCAUUCACCUUCUUCACCAGCAACUGGGAGAUGAUCAGGAGUGCAGCUGUCAAGCUCACAGAUGCCAUUAUUCUCCAUUUGACCAAUCGAUAUGUGGAGUUAUUAGACAGAGAGCAACUCACCAUGCGACUCCAGGCACUCCGGCAGGACCCCUGUAUCAGUGUCCAGAGAGCUGCUGAAGCUACCUUACAGACCCUCCUGAGAAGGUGUAAAGAGAUCAGCAUCCCACUGUAAACCAUCAAGAAAUAAACUGCUAGGCUUUUUCUAAAACUAA
rnacentral:sRNA from 1 species